CUUGUACUGACCACGCACGCACUUCUUCACUUGUUCGUGGAGCAGAGAACGAGCAGGGCAUAUUCGAAGAGGUUUUGCACGGGAGGCUCGACUUCGACGCGGAGCCAUGGCCCAGCGUCUCCGAAGGCGCCAAGGAUCUUGUGAGGAGAAUGCUCAUCAGGGACCCGAGGAAGAGACUGACCGCUCAUGAAGUUCUACGGCAUCCUUGGGUCCAGGUUGGUGGUUUGGCUCCUGACAAGCCGCUGGACUCGGCUGUUCUUUCUCGCAUGAAGCAGUUCUCGGCCAUGAA